UACGUAGGUGGCAAGCGUUGUCCGGAUUUAUUGGGUUUAAAGGGUGCGUAGGCGGAUGCGUUAAGUCAGAGGUGAAGACGGCCGCUCAACGGUCGCGUGCCUUGAUACUGGGUAUCUGAGUGCAGACGAGGUCUGUGGAAUGGAUGGUGUAGGCGGUGAAAUGCUUAGAUACCAAUCCAGAACAGCCAAGUUGCGAAGGCAGCAGACUAGGGUGCAACUGACGCUGAGGAAGCGAAGCGUGGGAGCGAACAGG
rnacentral:rRNA from 1 species